rnacentral:rRNA from 1 species
UACAGAGGUCUCAAGCGUUGUUCGGAUUCAUUGGGCGUAAAGGGUGCGUAGGUGGCGCUGUAAGUCGGGUGUGAAAUUUCGAGGCUUAACCUCGAAACUGCAUUCGAUACUGCGGUGCUUGAGGACUGGAGAGGAGACUGGAAUUCAUGGUGUAGCAGUGAAAUGCGUAGAGAUCAUGAGGAAGACCAGUGGCGAAGGCGGGUCUCUGGACAGUUCCUGACACUGAGACACGAAGGCCAGGGGAGCAAGCGGG